rnacentral:rRNA from 1 species
GGGGGGCUAAACUGCAAGUCGAGCGAGCUUGCCUAGAUGAUUUUAGUGCUUGCACUAAAUGAAACUAGAUACAAGCGAGCGGCGGACGGGUGAGUAACACGUGGGUAACCUGCCCAAGAGACUGGGAUAACACCUGGAGACAGAUGCUAAUACCGGAUAACAACACUAGACGCAUGUCUAGAGUUUGAAAGAUGGUUCUGCUAUCACUCUUGGAUGGACCUGCGGUGCAUUAGCUAGUUGGUAAGGUAACGGCUUACCAAGGCAAUGAUGCAUAGCCGAGUUGAGAGACUGAUCGGCCACAUUGGGACUGAGACACGGCCCAAACUCCUACGGGAGGCAGCAGUAGGGAAUCUUCCACAAUGGACGAAAGUCUGAUGGAGCAACGCCGCGUGAGUGAAGAAGGGUUUCGGCUCGUAAAGCUCUGUUGGUAGUGAAGAAAGAUAGAGGUAGUAACUAGCCUUUAUUUGACGGUAAUUACUUAGAAAGUCACGGCUAACUACGUGCCAGCAGCCGCGGUAAUACGUAGGUGGCAAGCGUUGUCCGGAUUUAUUGGGCGUAAAGCGAGUGCAGGCGGUUCAAUAAGUCUGAUGUGAAAGCCUUCGGCUCAACCGGAGAAUUGCAUCAGAAACUGUUGAACUUGAGUGCAGAAGAGGAGAGUGGAACUCCAUGUGUAGCGGUGGAAUGCGUAGAUAUAUGGAAGAACACCAGUGGCGAAGGCGGCUCUCUGGUCUGCAACUGACGCUGAGGCUC